AUGCACAGUCCCGGCAAACGUCUGCACUUUCAGACCUUUGGAGAAUCGAUUUGUGACGAGGUCUUCCACGUCCUCUGCAUCCGCGCUGAAUUGUGUGUUCAUCUUCAAGCCAUCGUGAGCUCUGAGCAGCCCUCACAGAAGGACUCAGCUGAAAAGUGUAAGAGCUGUACUGAGCACUGCUUUCCUAAGUGCUCCUUGAAUUUUUCAACAAGAAGACUGAGAAUUUUUUGGUGCAAAUCAUCACUAUGCUUGAAAAAAAGUAAAAAUUUUGAAGUUGAAAAUUAUAACCAAGACCCGAAGUAACAAACACUCAGAUUUAAGUAUCUCUGUUUUUGAUGCACUUGGGGAAAAGUUGCUUCUUUCCUUAUAUUUCUCUGAAAACACUGCACCAGUGUAGCAGUGUUAAGAACUUAUCUAACUG
rnacentral:lncRNA from 1 species